AAACUGUAGUCAUUCUGUCAGCUAAACCCCAGUGACACUACAUCCUCCCCCACUACAAAAAGUUUCGUCCUCGAAACUUAAGCUCAUACCUCAGCACGGUACCUCAAAUAGGUAGGGGUAGGAUUUCUGCAUCACAACCACCGAUCCCAAAUCACCUCACACUCCUCAUGAUUACUCCACUGCACUUUCACAUACGGUAUGACCCGGUUGCGUAAUUCUUUCGUCUCACGAGCAAGAAUCCGC
rnacentral:lncRNA from 1 species